AUUGAACGCUGGCGGCAGGCCUAACACAUGCAAGUCGAACGAGUGGCGGACGGGUGAGUAAUGUCUGGGAAACUGCCUGAUGGAGGGGGAUAACUACUGGAAACGGUAGCUAAUACCGCAUACCAUCGGAUGUGCCCAGAUGGGAUUAGCUAGUAGGUGGGGUAAAGGCUCACCUAGGAGACGAUCCCUAGCUGGUCUGAGAGGAGGACGAGCCACACUGUAACUGAGACACGGUCCAGACUCCUACGGGGGGCAGGAGUGGGGAAUAUCGCACAAUGGGCGAAGGCCUGAUGCAGCCAUGCCGCGUGUAUAAAGACGGCCUUCGGGUUGUAAAGUACUUUCAGCGGGGAGGCGUUACCCGCAGAAGAAGCACCGGCUAACUCCGUGCCAGCAGCCGCGGUAAUAC
rnacentral:rRNA from 1 species